CUUAUACAGAGAUGUCUCUUCAGUCUUCUAAUUCCCAUUUGUGAGUAUUGGGUGGUAAUAUAAUAGGGACAGACAAUAUAUAAAAAAUUCUGGAGGACAAUCUUCACAGAAUAGAAAUAUGUAAUGUUAGCACUUUUGGAUUUAUUUACUAAAUAGUGAGACUAAAAAUAGCCAACUCAGAAACUCUCCAACCACUGAAAAGCCCAAGAUAAUUAUCGACUCAACAAAACCUACUGUUUAGUGAAUAUCUCCGACUCUAUGUUAUAGAAAAUAAUUAUCCUUAGUAAAUGCUUUGUGACUCUAAAUCCAGUGUCUGCACAUUAAACAUUCAUCUCACCUUGCCAUUUGUUCGUAAGAAUGCAACAUUUUUUAAUAUAACCUGCUGUUCAUAUGUUUCAGGUCUGGCACAGACAUCCACCAUUAAUCAGUGGCCCAGAACAAUCAUGAGGGAGUUAGGUUCCGUGGUACACAUGAACUGCACUCAGACGACAGAUCACAACUAUAUGUACUGGUAUCUACAGAGGAAUGGUCAAGGACUAGAGCUUAUAGCCUGGAGUCUCCUAGGCCAAACACCUGAGAAUGAGAAAGGGAUUGACAAAGACAAGUUUAUAAUGACCAGGACUGAGUCAGGGAAGACAACUCACCUGGAAAUCAAAUCCCUGGAGAACCAGGACAAAGGGAUCUAUUUCUGUGCUUCUAGUGAAGCACAGUGACUCAGGAGAGCCAGACGCCUUUCAAAUAACCUCACACUACAAGCUAGAGCAGUUUAUCUCUAAAAAUUAUCAGACACAGUUCAGUGGGUUUAGAAUGAAGAAACCUGUCCUCAAUUAACAACACGUACA